rnacentral:rRNA from 1 species
GAUGAACGCUGGCGGCGUGCCUAACACAUGCAAGUCGAACGAAGCGAUUCAGAGGAAGUUUUCGGAUGGAAUCUGGAGAGACUGAGUGGCGGACGGGUGAGUAACGCGUGGAUAACCUGCCUCAUACAGGGGGAUAACAGUUAGAAAUGACUGCUAAUACCGCAUAAGCGCACAAGAUCGCAUGAUCAUGUGUGAAAAACUCCGGUGGUAUGAGAUGGAUCCGCGUCUGAUUAGCCAGUUGGCGGGGUAACGGCCCACCAAAGCGACGAUCAGUAGCCGACCUGAGAGGGUGACCGGCCACAUUGGGACUGAGACACGGCCCAA